UACGUAGGGUCCAAGCGUUGUCCGGAAUUAUUGGGCGUAAAGAGCGUGUAGGCGGUCCGGUAAGUCCGCUGUGAAAGUCGGGGGCUCAACCCUCGGAUGCCGGUGGAUACUGUCGGGCUUGAGUACGGAAGAGGCGAGUGGAAUUCCUGGUGUAGCGGUGAAAUGCGCAGAUAUCAGGAGGAACACCUAUUGCGAAGGCAGCUCGCUGGGACGUUACUGACGCUGAGACGCGAAAGCGUGGGAGCAAACAGG
rnacentral:rRNA from 1 species